rnacentral:lncRNA from 1 species
GCGAUAUACUUAACUGCUCUUGCAGCAACCUUCUGCAUUCUCUCAGUUGAAGCUGAGGAAAAGAUCGAGAAGAAAUCGGCCGAAACAGAAACCAAAAACGAUCUUCAGCCGGAGGCUUCAGCACGAUUCUUCGGCUAUGGAGAUAAUUACGGUAGCGGCUACGGUGGAUACGGCAAAUACGGCGGAUACGGUGGCUAUGGAGGCUACAACAACUACGGCGGAUACGGAAGCGAAUAUCUCGGCACCGGCUACGGAGGUGGAUACGGUGGAUACGGAGGUUAUAAUGGAUAUCGCGGAGGAUACGGUGGCUAUGGUGGCUACGGAAGCAACGGCGGUUACGGAAGUUACGGAGACUACAAUAGUUGGUAAAACUAACAGUUUUGACGAUAUGAACAAUUCUCCUCCAGGUCUCUGCGCUACAAGUUGCUAUUUACUGCCAUUUUUCGCAUUCUUUCUGAAAAUCACCAUUAGGGUAAAACUGUUAUUUUUGAUCAUUUCACAUGUGAAAGUAGGUAUUUCCUCCCCGAAAUUAUUUUUAACAGCUUUUCAUUAUUUUUAA